UGAGCACCACAGCAUGAGAAUACUGCUUUCCCUCUCACUCUUAUUCAUGCCCCUGGCAGAGAGAUGGGGAGUGACGGAGGAAACCAUGAAAGGAGGAGGAGGAUGUGGGAGUCAAACAGUGGGAGGCACCGCGUGAGGAGUGAGGAAUGAUGAAAGAAUGGCUGCUGAGCAAGCCUUAGCAACACAGAGUUUGACUGGGUUAUUUAUAGUACAGUGGGACCCAUCGUCUCUAUCUCACAAUAGCUUCUGCUUCCCAUCUUCUCUCUCCCUCUUCUACAAAUCGUUUGCAUUUUCUGAGGCAGUGGGAGAGCGUGGGAGGAACAGCAAACGUUGUCGGAGGACGGGGACGAUGAGGUCACGGUUGCAGGAAGGAUCAUCUGUCAGAUUCAAGUCCGGACUCUUGUUGUCACUCAGAGCAUACUUCCAGUCAAAAGAUAUGUGUUGAAUAGAUUUUGUGUUGCCCUGCGAUGGACUGGCGACCUGUCCAGGGUGUAGCCUGC